GCACCAUCCCCUGGGCUGCCAGCUGAGCUAGAAAAGGCAGACAGAAGAAGAUGACUAAGCAGACUUUCUGAGUCUUCCAGCCUUUCUCCUGUAUUGAAUGCUUUUUGCCUUGAACAUCAGACUCCAAGCUCUUCAGCUUUUGGACUCUUGGACUUACACCAGUGGUUUGCCAGGGACCCUCGGGCCUUUGGCCACAGACUGAAGGCUGCACUGUCAGUUUCCCUACUUUUGAGGUUUUGGGACUCAGACUGAUCUGCCACUGGCUUCCUUGGUCCUCAACUAGCAGACAGCCUAUCAUGGAACUUUACCUUGUGAUGGUGGAGAAACAAGAGCUCUUUCUUUUACACCAAAGAGAGGCCACGUGAGGACAUAAUGAAAAGAAGGCCAUCAGCAAAAAAAGAAGAGGACGGUCACCAGACUCCAAAUCUACUGGCACCUUGAUUCUGGACUUCCUAUUCUCCAGAACUGUGAGAAUUAAAUGUAUGUUGUUUAAGCCUCCCAGCCAACUAUUUUGUUAUAGCAGCCUGAACUGACUGACACAUAUGGAUAUUCUAUAAUUUGUUUUUUCACUCAUCUGUUGAUGGGCAUUUGAGUUAUUUAUAAUUUGGGGGUAUUAAAAAUCAAUAUUCUAUGACAAUUUAAGUGCAAGUUUUCUGUUGAGU
rnacentral:lncRNA from 1 species